GACGAACGCUGGCGGCGUGCCUAAUACAUGCAAGUCGAGCGGAAUGAAGAAGAAGCUUGCUUCUUCUGAUUUUAGCGGCGGACGGGUGAGUAACACGUGGGCAACCUACCUUGUAGAUUGGGAUAACUCCGGGAAACCGGGGCUAAUACCGGAUAAUCCAUUUUGCUUCAUGGCGAGAUGUUAAAAGGCGGCUUCGGCUGUCACUACGAGAUGGGCCCGCGGCGCAUUAGCUAGUUGGUAGGGUAAUGGCCUACCAAGGCGACGAUGCGUAGCCGACCUGAGAGGGUGAUCGGCCACACUGGGACUGAGACACGGCCCAGACUCCUACGGGAGGCAGCAGUAGGGAAUCUUCCGCAAUGGACGAAAGUCUGACGGAGCAACGCCGCGUGAGUGAAGAAGGUUUUCGGAUCGUAAAACUCUGUUGUAAGGGAAGAACACGUACGAGAGUAACUGCUCGUACCUUGACGGUACCUUAUUAGAAAGCCACGGCUAACUACGUG
rnacentral:rRNA from 1 species